CAUGGCUCAGGAUGAACGCUGGCGGGAGUGCCUAACACAUGCAAGUCGAGCGGCAGCGCGAGUAGUUUACUACUUGGCGGCGAGCGGCGGACGGCUGAGUAACGCGUGGGAACAUGCCCAGAGUGAGGAAUAACUGCCCGAAAGGGUAGCUAAUGCCGCAUACGAUCUUCGGAUUAAAGGAUUUAUCCGCUUUGGGAGUGGCCUGCGUACGAUUAGAUAGUUGGUGAGGUAAUGGCUCACCAAGUCUACGAUCGUUAACUGGUUUGAGAGGAUGAUCAGUCAGACUGGAACUGAGACACGGUCCAGACUCCUACGGGAGGCAGCAGUGAGGAAUCUUCCACAAUGGACGAAAGUCUGAUGGAGCAACUCCGCGUGCAGGAUGAAGGCCUUCGGGUCGUAAACUGCUUUUAUGAGUGAAGAAUAUGACGGUAACUCAUGAAUAAGGGUCGGCUAACUACGUG
rnacentral:rRNA from 1 species